rnacentral:rRNA from 1 species
UACGGGGGGGGCAAGCGUUGUUCGGAAUUACUGGGCGUAAAGGGUUCGUAGGUGGCUAUGUAAGUCAGACGUGAAAUCCCUCGGCUUAACCGGGGAACUGCGUCUGAUACUGGAUGGCUUGAGUACGGGAGAGGGAUACGGAAUUCCAGGUGUAGCGGUGAAAUGCGUAGAUAUCUGGAGGAACACCGGUGGCGAAGGCGGCUCUCUGGACGGUGACUGACGCUGAGGCGCGAAAGCGUGGGGAGUAAACAGG